rnacentral:ncRNA from 1 species
UGCCAGUCCGAGGGGUGCUCCUGUGGGAGCUGAGAUGGCGCUGCGGCGUCGGACCCUUUGAACCUGAUCCGGGUCAUGCCGGCGAAGGGACGGGAUCAACCGGCUUU